UGGGGCAACAUGAAUCCAGCCUGUUACAUUUGAGAUUUUGGUUCACUUAUUUACAAAAGGGCCCAGAGCCUCCCCCUUCUUUCCCUGCAUUAGGAAAGAGUUUGGAAGUGGCUGACAGCAGUGUCUUCCUUCUGGCAGCCCUUAUAUUUUCUCUCUACGCAAAACUCAAAAGAAAUCCUCUGUCAGAAGAAAAAAGUGGAGGUGGGAUAAUGUGACCAACAGCUAAGCUCCAGUCCUUGACACAGGCUUAGGUGAUGAUCCCAGCUGAGACAAGGAUUGGUGAGUUACCUUAGAGAAGAAGCCUCUUCUAAAUGCUCAGACUCGCUGUGGGCUGGAAGGAUUUGACUUUGAAUGCUUCUGAAAUUCUCCCCUCCUUGUUCUUGAUUAACCAUUGAGAUGACAAUGUAGAUUUGAGGGAGAGGUGGCUCUGAUUCUGCUUAAACCAGAGAAAACUGAAAGUGAUAUUGACAUUCUCAUAUAUCAAUCAAUUAAUUGAUUCAUUCACUGAGUCACUGAUUCAUUCAUUUAUGCAUCAGGCAUUGUUCCAAGCAGUUGAGGUGCAGAGACGAAAUAGCAAAACAGGACAGUGGAUUCUUACUUGGGGUUUAGCAGUCUGUGGACCCUCUGGUAGGCUAAGUGAAAGCCAUGUGUGUACUUUUUCAGAGAAAAGAUGUAUUGCUCUGGCCAGAUUCUCAGGAGUUUAGAAGCUGCUAGCUCUUGGGAAAUAAAGGCUCUUGGGAUAAAAUAUGGAAUCUAUUAAUUCAAUCAGAGUGCAGUGGGAAGGUAGUGGGAUGUGCAGGUGAACAUCUGAAAUUCCAAAAGGGGCCAAAGAUGACCAAACCUCACAGCAGCUGGACACGAGCAGCAGCAACCAGUUCUCUGGGGUGUUUAUUUAUGAUGGCAUUAAAAAAAUAUUUACCUGAUGCCUGAGAAUAAAAAGGUGAAUGCAAACCUGGGAGACAACAAGAGGACCAACCUAUCGAGAGAGAAGUCUGAAUGGAGAGGAUAUGCCUUAAGGCUCCUGAGGAGUCUGCACAUAUUUUGGGAAGACAAUAUCAGAGGGCCAAAGCCCAGAAGGACAAGUGACUUACCUCAAGACACACACAUUGAAUUACAAGAGGGCAGCACAUCCAUGGCUCUUGCCAUCACACCACAGUAUCCACUGCAAUCCCAAUGGCAAGAGAAAGUGGCAGGCAGAGUCAGACAGGAAAGAAGUGCCAAUGGCAAGAGAGUGGAGAAUUAUUACAAGGAAUAAUUAAACAGAUUGACGGACUGAAAAACCUAAGGAGCACGCUAAGAUAACACUCAGCUGGUGACUGCAGAGUGCUGCUACACUGCUAGUGGCUGGAGCAACAAGGAAGAGAGAAUGUGUCUAGUGCUGCCAAUUCCGAUACAGAGGCCACCAGCCCUAUGUGGCUAUCGAGAACCUGAAAAGCAGCCAGCCUGAAUAGGCAAGCGCUGCUGUAAACGUGAAAUGCACACUGGAUUUCAAAGACCUACUAUGUAAAAAAGCAAUGUAAAAUAUUCCAUUAAAAGCUUUAAAUAUUAAUUACAUGUUGGAAUAAUAACAUUUUGGAAGAGUUGAAUUAAGUAAAAUUUGUCAUUAGAAUUAAUUUGCCCUGUUUCUUUGUACCUUUUGUAAAAUGGCAAC
rnacentral:lncRNA from 13 species